GAUGAACGCUGGCGGCGUGCCUAAUACAUGCAAGUCGAGCGAACAGACGAGGAGCUUGCUCCUCUGACGUUAGCGGCUGACGGGUGAGUAACACGUGGAUAACCUACCUAUAAGACUGGGAUAACUUCGGGAAACCGGAGCUAAUACCGGAUAAUAUAUUGAACCGCAUGGUUCAAUAGUGAAAGACGGUUUUGCUGUCACUUAUAGAUGGAUCCGCGCCGCAUUAGCUAGUUGGUAAGGUAACGGCUUACCAAGGCAACGAUGCGUAGCCGACCUGAGAGGGGGAUCGGCCACACUGGAGCUGGGACACGGUCCAGACUCCUACGGGAGGCAGCAGUAGGGAAUCGUCCGCAAUGGGCGAGAGCCUGACGGAGCAACGCCGCGUGAGUGAUGAAGGUCUUCGGAUCGGAAAACUCUGUUAUUAGGGAAGAACAAAUGUGUAAGUAACUAUGCACGUCUUGACGGUACCUAAUCAGAAAGCCACGGCUAACUACGUG
rnacentral:rRNA from 1 species